UACGGAGGGUGCAAGCGUUAUCCGGAUUCACUGGGUUUAAAGGGAGCGCAGGCGGAUUGGUAAGUCAGUGGUGAAAGGCUUAAGCUUAACUUGGGAACUGCCAUUGAUACUAUCAGUCUUGAAUGUUGUUGAGGUUUGCGGAAUGGGUCAUGUAGCGGUGAAAUGCAUAGAUAUGACCGGAACACCUAUUGCGAAGGCAGCAGGCUAAACAAAUAUUGACGCUGAGGCUCGAAAGCGUGGGGAUCAAACAGG
rnacentral:rRNA from 1 species